UACGUAGGGUGCAAGCGUUGUCCGGAAUUAUUGGGCGUAAAGAGCUCGUAGGCGGUCUGUUGCGUCGGCUGUGAAAACCCGGGGCUCAACUCCGGGCCUGCAGCCGAUACGGGCAGACUAGAGUUCGGCAGGGGAGACUGGAAUUCCUGGUGUAGCGGUGAGAUGCGCAGAUAUCAGGAGGAACACCGGUGGCGAAGGCGGGUCUCUGGGCAGUAACUGACGCUGAGGAGCGAAAGCGUGGGGAGCGAACAGG
rnacentral:rRNA from 1 species